rnacentral:rRNA from 1 species
CACGUAGGGGGCAAGCGUUGUCCGGAUUUAUUGGGCGUAAAGAGCUCGUAGGCGGCUCAGUAAGUCGGGUGUGAAACCUCCAGGCUCAACCUGGAGACGCCACCCGAUACUGCUGUGGCUUGAGUCCGGUAGGGGAGCGUGGAAUUCCUGGUGUAGCGGUGGAAUGCGCAGAUAUCAGGAGGAACACCGGUGGCGAAGGCGGGAUCCUGGGCCAGUACUGACGCUGAGGAGCGAAAGCGUGGGGAGCAAACAGG